AACGAACGCUGGCGGCAUGCCUAACACAUGCAAGUCGAACGAGAUCUUCGGGUCUAGUGGCGCACGGGUGCGUAACGCGUGGGAAUCUGCCCUUUGGUUCGGAAUAACAGUUGGAAACGACUGCUAAUACCGGAUGAUGACGAAAGUCCAAAGAUUUAUCGCCAGAGGAUGAGCCCGCGUAGGAUUAGCUAGUUGGUGUGGUAAAGGCGCACCAAGGCGACGAUCCUUAGCUGGUCUGAGAGGAUGAUCAGCCACACUGGGACUGAGACACGGCCCAGACUCCUACGGGAGGCAGCAGUGGGGAAUAUUGGACAAUGGGCGAAAGCCUGAUCCAGCAAUGCCGCGUGAGUGAUGAAGGCCUUAGGGUUGUAAAGCUCUUUCGCCAGGGACGAUAAUGACGGUACCUGGAUAAGAAGCCCCGGCUAACUUCGUGCCAGCCGCCGCCGUAA
rnacentral:rRNA from 1 species